rnacentral:rRNA from 1 species
AACGAACGCUGGCGGCAGGCCUAAUACAUGCAAGUCGAGGGGCCCGUAAGGGCACCGGCGCACGGGUGCGUAACGCGUGGGAAUAUACCCUUCACUACGGAACAACGUCGGGAAACUGACGCUAAUACCGUAUGAUGACUCCGGUCCAAAGAUUUAUCGGUGAAGGAUUAGCCCGCGUCUGAUUAGCUAGUUGGUGAGGUAACGGCUCACCAAGGCGACGAUCAGUAGCUGGUCUGAGAGGAUGAUCAGCCACACUGGGACUGAGACACGGCCCAGACUCCUACGGGAGGCAGCAGUAAGGAAUAUUGGACAAUGGAGGAAACUCUGAUCCAGCCAUGCCGCGUGAGUGAAGAAGGCCUUCGGGUUGUAAAGCUCUUUUAAUCGUGAAGAUAAUGACGGUAGCGAUAGAAAAAGCUCCGGCUAAAUUCGUGCCAGCCGCCGCCGUAA